AGUGAACGCUGGCGGCAUGCCUAACACAUGCAAGUCGAGCGGCAGCACAGUAAGAGCUCGCUCUUACGGGUGGCGGGUGGCGGACGGGUGACGAGUACAUCGGAAACCACUAUUUCGGGGGGGAUAACGUAGGGACACUUACGCUAAUACCUCAUACUAUGUACGGGGGAAAGCAGAGGAGAUACGGAGCUUGCGCGACUGUAUGAGCCGACGUCGGAUUAGCUAGUUGGCAGGGUAAAGGCCCACCAAGGCGACGAUCCGUAGCUGGUCUGAGAGGAUGAUCAGCCACACUGGAACUGAGACACGGUCCAGACUCCUACGGGAGGCAGCAGUGGGGAAUAUUGGGCAAUGGGCGCAAGCCUGAUCCAGCCAUACCGCGUGGGUGAUGAAGGUCUUCGGAUCGUAAAGCUCUUUUGUUGGGAAAGAACAGCAGCGGGUUAAUCCCCCGAUGUUUUGACGGUACCCAAAGAAUAAGCACCGGCUAACUUCGUG
rnacentral:rRNA from 1 species